GGAUGAUAAAACGUCAAAAAUAACUGCAAUUAAACAGUAUGAAGAUAAACAAAGUCAAGAAGGUACCGCAUACUGCAUAAGCAAGACUUUCGUCACUGCCUGCUCUGGGUUCAGUCACUCAACUUAGGAGGCUCAGUUUCUCCCCGGGAUUGUUACGAUGGUCGUCUGUGCUGCCGUGAAUGCUGAGGAUGGCGUGUGGUGUGUGCAGAUUAACAGGGACUGGAGCAGAGACGGCCGCGUGGCACCUUGGAGGUCUAUUAAGGUUUCACCGCCACAGGUCUGAGCAGGCAACACUGGGGCACCCCCUUCAGACAUGGGGAAAGAAGACUGCCAAGCAUUCGAAGGCCACGCAGCUGAGACGUGGCAGAGCUUGGGUUAAAAUCUUGUAAUGCUGACCUGCAAGGCCGGCACUGCCUCCGCCACACGCACUUCCGCCCACCGUGACGCGCUGCUUCCACCAUCAUGCACUUCUGCCAGGACGUGUGGCCUCGCAUCCGUGCUCCUUUGUGGGCAGCCUUCAUCCUUUGUAACGUAGAAUGGUUAUGAGUGGCUGGUCAGGUGGAUGGAAAUUUUCUAAAAUACAUCAGACCAUUUCUUUUGUUGCUUUCUGAGACGGAAUACAUGGAAAUUAACAAAACAUCUUAAGAACAAUUUUACUUUUUUCAAAUAUUCAAAUAGAUUUUUCUGAAUUGAACAUUGAUUUUGGCCCUGCGCUAUAAUUUAAUGAAAUCCUUAGUCAUUAACUCUGCCCCAUAAGCUAUGUAACCCCAGAAGUUUCCAUGAUUAAAAACAUUUCUGACAUCA
rnacentral:lncRNA from 1 species